GGAUUCACCUGUUCCUGGUCAACAUCAUCGUCUCCGGUGAUUAUGAUUCUCUUCUCGAUCCUGGUCUCUGAAUAUCCUCCUUUCACCGUCUGUGACAUACAACAGCUCAAGAAGCAGAAUCAUGA